GAUCUAUAGCCCUCAAAUCUCCACUAGCUCAAAUUUUUGUAUGCAUUACCACACACUUGCAGAUGUGUGUAUGCUUCAUCCCUCUUUAAAAUUACAUCCUCAAAUACUAAGUUCUUUUCUGCCAAGUCCUUGAAUUCAAGGAAUGCUGGUGCCGAAUUGGUCCUCAAUUCCAGACCUUUCUACAUAGAAACAUCACAAACAGCUAAUAGAACACCACAAUAUGUUGCAUUACACUUAUUCCUGGAUUAUUCUUGUAUGCCAAUUGAUUCUCCCACAAACAUUUUUCUUCCAUUCUGAUUCCAGAAAAG
rnacentral:misc_RNA from 1 species